AUUGAACGCUGGCGGCAGGCCUAACACAUGCAAGUCGAGCGGAUGAAGGGAGCUUGCUCCUGGAUUCAGCGGCGGACGGGUGAUUAAUGCCUAGGAAUCUGCCUGGUAGUGGGGGAUAACGUCCGGAAACGGGCGCUAAUACCGCAUACGUCCUGAGGGAGAAAGUGGGGGAUCUUCGGACCUCACGCUAUCAGAUGAGCCUAGGUCGGAUUAGCUAGUUGGUGGGGUAAAGGCCUACCAAGGCGACGAUCCGUAACUGGUCUGAGAAGAUGAUCAGUCACACUGGAACUGAGACACGGUCCAGACUCCUACGGGAGGCAGCAGUGGGGAAUAUUGGACAAUGGGCGAAAGCCUGAUCCAGCCAUGCCGCGUGUGUGAAGAAGGUCUUCGGAUUGUAAAGCACUUUAAGUUGGGAGGAAGGGCAGUAAGUUAAUACCUUGCUGUUUUGACGUUACCAACAGAAUAAGCACCGGCUAACUUCGUG
rnacentral:rRNA from 1 species